UACGGAGGGUGCGAGCGUUGUCCGGAAUCAUUGGGCGUAAAGGGCGCGUAGGUGGCGGCUUAAGCGUGCGGUGAAAGCUCGGGGCUCAACCCCGAGUCGGCCGUGCGAACUGAGUCGCUUGAGCACUGUAGAGGCAGGCGGAAUUCCGGGGUGUAGCGGUGGAAUGCGUAGAGAUCGGAAAGAACACCAACGGCGAAAGCACUCUGCUGGGCCGACACUGACACUGAGAGACGAAAGCUAGGGGAGCGAAUGGG
rnacentral:rRNA from 1 species